GUUCCUACGGGACGCAGCAGUGGGGAAUAUUGCACAAUGGGGGAAACCCUGAUGCAGCGACGCCGCGUGAGCGAUGAAGUAUUUCGGUAUGUAAAGCUCUAUCAGCAGGGAAGAAGAUGACGGUACCUGACUAAGAAGCCCCGGCUAACUACGUGCCAGCAGCCGCGGUAAUACGUAGGGGGCAAGCGUUAUCCGGAUUUACUGGGUGUAAAGGGAGCGUGGACGGCCAGACAAGUCUGAAGUGAAAAUCCAGCGCUUAACGUUGGAAGUGCUUUGGAAACUGCCGGGCUAGAGUGCAGGAGGGG
rnacentral:rRNA from 1 species